UUGAAAGGGAAACGAUUGAAGUCAGUCGUACUGAUGGGAAAUCAACUUCUCGAGUGCUUGUCGUGGAUGACGUUGAGCUUCACGGCCUUCGUUGCUUACGUUAUGGUGCUUUUGAGAUGUACUUUCCGUAUGGUAGGUCAACAUCGAUUUUGAUCGUCAUAAAAUGAUCGGAGGAAUGUGGCUCUGAUCUCGUAUCGGAGUGUUAUAGCCUUUGGUAGAUGUGACGAUUGGGAUCGAGGAUUGCAACGAAUACCCUUUUGGGCUAUCCGUCUGACCUCUGAAAGUUACUUGGGUGCCGAAAGCUUGCUUACGGUCAUUUAAGUUGACGGUCAAUAGGUUAGAACGUGAUUACAUUCGUUAAGGAUGUUGACGUA
rnacentral:rRNA from 1 species